rnacentral:rRNA from 1 species
UACAGAGGUCUCAAGCGUUGUUCGGAUUCAUUGGGCGUAAAGGGUGUGUAGGUGGCGCCGUAAGUCGGGUGUGAAAUUUCGGAGCUUAACUCCGAAACUGCAUUCGAUACUGCGGUGCUUGAGGACUGGAGAGGAGACUGGAAUUCAUGGUGUAGCAGUGAAAUGCGUAGAGAUCAUGAGGAAGACCAGUGGCGAAAGGCGGGGUCUCUGGACAGUUCCUGACACUGAGACACGAAGGCCAGGGGGAGCAAAACGGGG